AGCUGCAGAAGAAGCACCGGCUAACUCCGUGCCAGCUAGCCGCGGUAAUACGGAGGGUGCGAGCGUUAAUCGGAAUUACUGGGCGUAAAGCGCAUGCAGGUGGUUGUUAAGUCAGAUGUGAAAGCCCGGGGCUCAACCUCGGAAUUGCAUUUGAAACUGGCAAACUAGAGUACUGUAGAGGGGGUAGAAUUUCAGGUGUAGCGGUGAAAUGCGUAGAGAUCUGAAGGAAUACCGGUGGCGAAGGCGGCCCCCUGGACAGAUACUGACACUCAGAUGCGAAAGCGUGGGGAGCAAACAGGAUUAGAUACCCUGGUAG
rnacentral:rRNA from 1 species